CUACCUGGUAGUGGGGGACAACUUGGGGAAACUCAAGCUAAUACCGCAUACGCCCCAAGGGGGAAAGCGGGGGACCUUCGGGCCUCGCGCUAUCAGAUGAGCCUGCGUAGGAUUAGCUUGUUGGUGAGGUAAAGGCUCACCAAGGCGACGAUCCUUAGCUGGUCUGAGAGGAUGAUCAGCCACACUGGGACUGAGACACGGCCCAGACUCCUACGGGAGGCAGCAGUGGGGAAUAUUGCGCAAUGGGGGCAACCCUGACGCAGCCAUGCCGCGUGUGUGAAGAAGGCCUUCGGGUUGUAAAGCACUUUAAGUGGGGAGAAAAGGGUAGCUGUUAAUAGCGGUUACCUGUGAUGUUACCCACAGAAUAAGCACCGGCUAACUCCGUGCCAGCAGCCGCGGUAAUACGGAGGGUGCGAGCGUUAAUCGGAAUUACUGGGCGUAAAGCGCGCGUAGGCGGUUUGUUAAGUCAGCUGUGAAAGCCCCGGGCUCAACCUGGGAACUGCAGUUGAUACUGGCCGACUAGAGUACGAGAGAGGGAGGUAGAAUUCCAUGUGUAGCGGUGAAAUGCGUAGAUAUAUGGAGGAAUACCGGUGGCGAAGGCGGCCUCCUGGCUCGAUACUGACGCUGAGGUGCGAAAGCGUGGGGAUCAAACAGGAUUAGAUACCCUGGUAGUCCACGCCGUAAACGAUGUCUACUAGCCGUUGGGAGACUUGAUUUCUUAGUGGCGCAGCUAACGCAAUAAGUAGACCGCCUGGGGAGUACGGCCGCAAGGUUAAAACUCAAAUGAAUUGACGGGGGCCCGCACAAGCGGUGGAGCAUGUGGUUUAAUUCGAUGCAACACGAAGAACCUUACCAGGUCUUGACAUCCAGAGAACUUUCCAGAGAUGGAUUGGUGCCUUCGGGAGCUCUGAGACAGGUGCUGCAUGGCUGUCGUCAGCUCGUGUCGUGAGAUGUUGGGUUAAGUCCCGUAACGAGCGCAACCCUUGUCCUUAGUUGCCAGCGAGUAAUGUCGGGAACUCUAAGGAGACUGCCGGUGACAAACCGGGGGAAGGUGGGGACGACGUCAAGUCAUCAUGGCCCUUACGACCUGGGCUACACACGUGCUACAAUGGAAUGCACAGAGGGCUGCAAAGGCGCGAGCUGGAGCCAAUCCCACAAAACGUUCGUAGUCCGGAUCGGAGUCUGCAACUCGACUCCGUGAAGUCGGAAUCGCUAGUAAUCGUGGAUCAGAAUGCCACGGUGAAUACGUUCCCGGGCCUUGUACACACCGCCCGUCACACCAUGGGAGUGGGUUGCUCCAGAAGUGGUUAUCCUAACCUUCGGGGGGGCGAUCACCACGGAGUGGUUCAUGACUGGGGUGAAG
rnacentral:rRNA from 1 species